rnacentral:lncRNA from 1 species
AUGGACGUGCAUGUGGCUUAAUGGGUUAGUGCAUGGAAAUAGGUGGGUUAGUGGCCGGGCAUGGUGGCCGGGUUAGUGGGUGCCUCUAUCUCAUGUGUGUAUAUAAGUCAUUUGAGUGAAUGAAAAAAGGAGGCCGUGAGGGUUUGGCAAAAUGUAGCACUUGUAGUGUCACCGGGAGUUACAAGCCAAAGCAGUUUUUCUCCACGGUGAGGGGUGGGUGUGUGCGUGUGUUUUCUUGAGCUUUCACAUGUGUGCGUGAGUGUUCAAGAGAAACAAGAGACUAGAGAGUUUUGUGAGGCAACCAAGAGGCAGAAGAAGAAGCGGCGCUGCGAGGAGGCGGCGCCAACAAUUGGUAUUAGAGCCUGGUUAUCAUGGGCGUCGUUCGUCAUGCUGGAGGCGUGUCGGCAAGGGGGGCGUUCGUCGGCGGCCGCGCGAAGCUCCGGACUGUGUGUCGGCCUAUGGAGGUGCGCGGCGAUGUGGUUGCCAUGGCCGACACGGUGGAGGAGACGCGACGGACUCCAUGAGAGAGGGACGUCGGUGGCGCAAGGUGGACGCCGUUGGCGGCGUGAUGCUGCUUGCGGCUGGUGUGUGUCUUCAUCAUCGUCGAGCUACGUCACGAGUGAUGGAGAUAGGUAUGUCGCCUGGUAAGUUGUGUCACCGGCGGCAUGGAGGUGGUGGCCAUGGAGCGGAGGCCAUUGCCAUAAGGACUUCCAUGUGCGAGUCGUCGACAAGGUGCGUCAUCGUCGACAACAUGAAGGUGAGUCACCGGUGACGAACAUGAAGGCAAGUCACCGGCGAGUUGUGGCACCGGUGACAAACGUGCGACAACGAGCGUGCCACGACGAGGCACUUGUGUUGAAGGUGUAGAAGGUGUGGCUCUCAUCGAGGCCAACGGCGGCGAUGGUUAUCGGCGUGACAAGAUGGCAAUGGCGGACGUCUCCGUGUUGCACCAACGACAUCGACGACCACGGGUUUGAAAAGUAAUAAGGGACAACAAGGUUAAGAAGGUGAUUGUUAGAGUUAACCUUGUUGUAUAGGUGAUUACAUCAUGUUGGAUUUGUUUUGCGUUGAGUCAUGCAUGUAGACUUGUCCAUUUACUAAGCUGCGGCAUGUGUACGCACAUAAGAUGAAAUCAUGUGGGUGCAUGUAACCUAGUAGUGGGUCAGCUGAGUUAGUUGAUUUAGUCAAGGUAGUUAGUUUGUUAGCUGCAUGCUAGCUGAUGACCAGGUGUGCGGUUAUUGAGGAAACGCUGCAAGCGGGGCUGUACAUGGACGUGCAUGUGGCUUAAUGGGUUAGUGCAUGGAAAUAGGUGGG